AACGAACGCUGGCGGCAUGCCUAACACAUGCAAGUCGAACGCCCUCUUCGGAGGGAGUGGCGCACGGGUGCGUAACGCGUGGGAACCUGCCCUUAGGUUCGGAAUAACUCAGAGAAAUUUGAGCUAAUACCGGAUAAUGUCUUCGGACCAAAGAUUUAUCGCCUUUGGAUGGGCCCGCGUUGGAUUAGCUAGUUGGUGAGGUAAUGGCUCACCAAGGCGACGAUCCGUAACUGGUCUGAGAGGAUGAUCAGUCACACUGGAACUGAGACACGGUCCAGACUCCUACGGAGGCAGCAGUGGGGAAUAAUUGGACAAUGGGCGAAAGCCUGAUCCAGCCAUGCCGCGUGUGUGAAGAAGGUCUUCGGAUUGUAAAGCGACUUUAAGUUGGGAGGAAGGGUAGUAACCUAA
rnacentral:rRNA from 1 species